AUUGAACGCUGGCGGAAUGCUUUACACAUGCAAGUCGAACGGCAGCACGGACUUCGGUCUGGUGGCGAGUGGCGAACGGGUGAGUAAUGUAUCGGAACGUGCCCAGUCGUGGGGGAUAACGUAGUGAAAAUUACGCUAAUACCGCAUACGAUCUAUGGAUGAAAGCGGGGGAUCGCAAGACCUCGCGCGAUUGGAGCGGCCGAUAUCAGGUUAGGUAGUUGGUGGGGUAAAGGCCCACCAAGCCAACGAUCUGUAGCUGGUCUGAGAGGACGACCAGCCACACUGGAACUGAGACACGGUCCGGACUCCUACGGGAGGCAGCAGUGGGGAAUUUUGGACAAUGGGCGAAAGCCUGUUCCAGCCAUUCCGCGUGCAGGAUGAAGGCCCUCGGGUUGUAAACUGCUUUUGUACAGAACGAAAAGGUUUCUACUAAUACUAGGAGCUCAUGACGGUACUGUAAGAAUAAGCACCGGCUAACUACGUGCCAGCAGCCGCCGCGG
rnacentral:rRNA from 1 species